rnacentral:rRNA from 1 species
UAGGGAAUCUUCCGCAAUGGACGAAAGUCUGACGGAGCAACGCCGCGUGAGUGAAGACGGCCUUCGGGUUGUAAAGCUCUGUGAUUCGGGACGAAAGGCUAUAUGUGAAUAAUAUAUGGAAAUGACGGUACCGAAAAAGCAAGCCACGGCUAACUACGUGCCAGCAGCCGCGGUAAUACGUAGGUGGCAAGCGUUGUCCGGAAUUAUUGGGCGUAAAGCGCGCGCAGGCGGUCACUUAAGUCCAUCUUAGAAGUGCGGGGCUUAACCCCGUGAUGGGAUGGAAACUGGGAGACUGGAGUAUCGGAGAGGAAAGUGGAAUUCCUAGUGUAGCGGUGAAAUGCGUAGAUAUUAGGAAGAACACCGGUGGCGAAGGCGACUUUCUGGACGAAAACUGACGCUGAGGCGCGAAAGCGUGGGGAGCAAACAGG